GGACUAUUUUCUGUAUCAAUACGCAGUCUGACGGACACGCUGGUACUGUCUUAGAAUUUCGUUAUUUUCACAAGUAUCGGAAAAUGUCUGGCUGGGACGCGUAUUCCGAAAACAUUAAAAGUUGCGGCUUUGUAUGUGGUGGAAUUUAUGACUACGCUGGAAAUCCUUGGACCCAGUUUUGUAGUGAUCCCAGUCUGCAAUUUGAUGGAAAAUAUGUUCCAAAAAUCCUGAAGUUGUUGAAGGAAGGAGCCGGUUGUGGAGAGACAGUGUUUGCCAAUGACCAGAAGCAGCAGGUUAUUAUCUGUGAUGACAGCACCGGGACCUUAGCAGGGAAACAUGGGAACAACUCGUCCCUUGUAGCGAUGCGCUGUAAACAAUGUGUAAUAAUUGGUGUUGGUGGUGAACAAUCUGAACCUAGAGCACUACUUGGCAAAUUAGCAGGCAUUGCUGAAUAUGUUUCCAACAGUGGAUAUUGAUUGUGUUUGCUGUUAGACAGUUUUCAAAUACAACUUACAUCAUGUGUGACUACGCAUAAUUGAAUCAUCACAGACUGCCUGGGAAUCGUUUGACAACAUUGUGAUAAAUAAGGGGAGACAACUGGUCAUCAUUCAUUUGGUUUAACCGAAUACUAAAUUUAUGGCUGUAUAAGUUUUUUUUUGUAUUCUAGUACUUUGUUCUGGACUUGACUGGUCAGAAUGAUUUUCUAGACCAGGUUAUUUGUUAUUCACUCAAUUAUGUUUAUUUAUGUAUUUUCAUAUGGGGUUUUAGCAAAUCGUUUGUAUCUUAUUAACCUGAAAGGUAGCGUUUUACUUGUUUCUGAUUAUUUAACAAUGUGACUAACAAUCAUGAGAUUGAAUGGAGAAUGAGCGAAUAUUUUAAAUUUUGUCAAAACAUCAGAUGAUUGCAACUUAUCUCAUGAAUGUAUGUAUAUUUUUUACUUUUCUAAUAUCCUUUGAUUGUUAGAAUAUUCCGUUGUCAACAUACAACUUAACUUAGACGGUCAGAAUCUCUGUUAAUUGGAUUUAUCAUCGAUUAACAUUAAAUUGGUAUUCAAGUGAAUGAAAAAUACAUUUGAAAAGAGAUACACAAAAACCAUAGCCAUAAAAAUCAAUGUAUUGUAGAUCUGAAGAAAACGUUAUUCUUUCAACUACUGCUUUCAUUAAUUUUUUUUAGUAAGGCACUUUACCAACACACUUAUUUUAAUGUUUCAAAAACAUUUGCUUACUAUUUUCUGUCAGAAGAGCUAUAGCACAAACCACAGGUUGUGAUAUUAUUUUGCAUUUUACUUCAUUGUAUUACGCAAAAAGUGAUACAAGGAGUAUUACUAUGUUUGUUUGCUCCCUUUAAAGUUUGAUUUACCAUAGGAAAUAUUAAACAACAGUUACUUUGCUUCAGACUUGUUUCAACCUGUGAUAAAACCCUUAGUAAUACUAUGAAAAAAAAAGAUAUGUUUUACAUACAGUGUGGUCAUUAUGAGUUAUUUUUCAAGAUACAUUAAGGAAAGUUUUUAACAAUUCACAUGAUUUCUUCUAAACACAUAUUUUACAUGUGCCAUUUCGCCUUUACUAGUCAGACACUUGACCUUUUUUAAAGCUUCAGCAUUAAUUACAUGUUAAAACAGUGUACUUAUUCAACACAUAUAUUAUGUGUGUCAUGUAUUACUAGUCAGACGUUAUACAAUAUUUAACUUAAGCUUCAGCAUUAAUUACAUGUGAAUAUACAUGCAUGUAAUGUUAAAACUUGUUGAAUUUUUAUUACGACAAUAUUUUUGAGGUACGAUAAUUUAUUAGCUGAUGUCAUUAGUCAUUAUAUAUAUUAUUGAAAAAAGUCUUCACAGUAUUCAGUAAAAGUAAAUAUACACUUCUUUUUAGAUACCUAUGUAUUUCCUUUAAAACUGUGUCUUGUGUAAACUAAUUUAAACUGACUUAUGCAGGGUUUUGUAUUGGAUAAGACAUAUUUUAUACCAAUAACCAUUAAUACUUUCAUGGCGCACAAUAUAUUCAGUCACGAACACCCCGUAGGUUUAGUAUUGCUUCUAGGUAAAUAGCUAGAAUAUGAACUUAGGUUGCCUACACAUUUGUGAUAUUUCUAAUUGUUUGUAAUCAUUUCAUUGUAUACAUGCUAUGCUUAUGGUCGACUUGAAAUAACUCUUUUCAUUAUUUUAUUUGAUGUUUGCAUAAAGUGCUAGGUAUUUUGUUAACUGUGAUUGUAUUUAAAGAAAGUGCUGAAUAAUUGAUAAAUUAAUGUGUAUUUGAAAUCCUUGUUUGGAAACACUGAUCAAGUGAAAAUAUUAUUAUUUAUGGGAAAAUGUUAAAUUAACAAUUGGGUUGAAUCGCAUUUUUGGUAAAAAAAAACAUUCUACUUGCGCAUACGUAAUUUUGUAAAAAUGUCCCCUAUAAACCAACAUUUCUUAGUUCUUUCAUAGUGAAAAUUGUCAUUUGCACAGUUUUCAUGGCCAGAUAUGUUGUGUUUGUUUUUUCAUGCAGUUGUGAUUGAACUGUCAGUAUUUUAAAAAUUGUUAGUGGAGAUUAACCCUCUCUUCAUGACCUCCCUGUGACCUUUUGAAAGUCGGGCUUGAUCUUGUUUAGUCAUUGAAAGCCACGCUAGAACAUCAGCUGAUGGCCUGGUCUGGCUGUGGAGUUACCCUGUUUAUUUGUUAGCCUCAUUUUUUCCAUGCAUAUUGUUUUACUCACAACAAAAUGAUUGUCUUUAAUUAUACUAAGAAUUCCAAUUCAAGUUGAAAAAUGACUUAAGAUUUGUUCACGGAAAACUGAGCUUAAUGCAUGUGCACAAAGUGUCGUCCCAUAUUAGCCAGUGCAGUACUCUCAGGCGAAUCAGGGACAUCAAUUUCAGCCUAGACUAGUUUAGAAGAGACUUUUCUUUAAUUGAAAAAUUCCAUAAAAGUGGAAAAUGUCUCGGUUGAUAAGCCUUCUCAUACUGCAAACACUACUCUGGGAUCAAAAUUAAUGCACAUGAAUGAAACCCAGUUAUCCCAGUACUUGGCUGAAAUGAUCACUUGUAUGUUCAAUCUUUUCCAACCACAGGCUAUUUUGAAGCCAAAGAUUAGAUGUUGUUAAACUCCAGUUGAUCACUUCAUUAUAGAAGUGGAAUUUGUGAUGAUAAAAGUUGUUUAUGUUAAAUUGCUAUCUCAAAGGAAAGUUGUUAAGAAAUGUUGAUUUAUUUAAGUCAAGAUGCCUUAUAUCUAUUUGUAUAGGCUUUAAGGACAGAAGAUCUUGUGUCACAAUAUAAACUUUUUAACAAUGGUUUGUACUACACUGUAAAUUUACCAGUUUGAACUCAUUCCAUGUUAAAGUCAAAUAAACUUCAGUAGCAGA